UGGAGAUCCGGGGAGAAGUUAAGGCGCGACAACCAUACACGCUUAUGGCAGCCAUCUCUUUCGCACGACUUCAAGAGGAGCGAUUGAACCAUGAAGCCUGGAGGACUAGGAUCACUCCUCAACCUACAAUUCUAAAGCCCUCAGCCCCCCCUACUAUCAACCGAGUCCCUGCACCGAAAAGGUUAACAAGAGAAGAACUUCG
rnacentral:lncRNA from 1 species